rnacentral:rRNA from 1 species
AGAACGAACGCUGGCGGCGUGGAUAAGACAUGCAAGUCGAACGGGUUUAGUUUCGGAGCAAUUCGGAAUUAGGCCAGUGGCGAACGGGUGCGUAACACGUGAGUCAUCUGCCUGAAAGUGGGGGAUAGCUCGCCGAAAGGCGAAUUAAUACCGCAUGUGGUUGUAAGACCAAAGCCGGGGCAACCUGGCGCUUUUAGAGGAACUCGCGGCCUAUCAGCUUGUUGGUGAGGUAACGGCUUACCAAGGCUUCGACGGGUAGCUGGUCUGAGAGGACGACCAGCCACACUGGAACUGAGACACGGUCCAGACACCUACGGGUGGCAGCAGUCGAGAAUUUUUUCCCAAUGGGGGAAACCCUGAAGGAGCGACGCCGCGUGGAGGAUGAAUGCUUUCGGGUGUAAACUCCUGUCAUUUGGGAACAAAGCCUUAGUUAACUGCGUGGAGGUUUGAUAGUACCGAAAGAGGAAGAGACGGCUAACUCUGUGCCAGCAGCCGCGGU